UAGAGUUUGAUCCUGGCUCAGGACGAACGCUGGCGGUGUGCUUAACACAUGCAAGUCGAGGGGCAGCAUGACACGGAGAUUCGUCGAAGUGUUGAUGGCGACCGGCGCAAGGGUGCGUAACGCGUGAGCAACUUGCCCGUUUCUGGGGAAUAACCGGUGGAAACGCCGACUAAUACCCCAUGGCAUCAUGAUGAGGCAUCUCAUCAUGAUUAAAGAAAUUCGGAAACGGAUAGGCUCGCGUGACAUUAGCUAGACGGCGGGGUAACGGCCCACCGUGGCGACGAUGUCUAGGGGUUCUGAGAGGAAGGUCCCCCACACUGGAACUGAGACACGGUCCAGACUCCUACGGGAGGCAGCAGUGAGGAAUAUUGGUCAAUGGUCUGACGACUGAACCAGCCAUGCCGCGUGAAGGCGACGGCCCUAUGGGUCUUAAACUUCUUUUGCGAGGGAGCAAUAAGGGUCACGUGUGGCCUGAUGAGAGUACCUCGCGAAUAAGCAUCGGCUAACUCCGUGCCAGCAGCCGCGGUAAUACGGGGGAUGCAAGCGUUAUCCGGAUUUAUUGGGUUUAAAGGGAGCGUAGGCGGUCUGUUAAGCGUGUUGUGAAAUGUAGGUGCUCAACAUCUGCACUGCAGCGCGAACUGGCGGACUUGAGUUGGCUGAAAGUAUGCGGAAUUCGUGGUGUAGCGGUGAAAUGCUUAGAUAUCACGAAGAACUCCGAUUGCGAAGGCAGCAUGCUGUAUCCUUACUGACGCUGAAGCUCGAAGGUGCGGGUAUCGAACAGGAUUAGAUACCCUGGUAGUCCGCACGGUAAACUAUGGAUGCCCGCUGUUGGCGAUAUAGUGUCAGCGGCCAAGCGAAAGCGUUAAGCAUCCCACCUGGGGAGUACGCCGGCAACGGUGAAACUCAAAGGAAUUGACGGGGGCCCGCACAAGCGGAGGAACAUGUGGUUUAAUUCGAUGAUACGCGAGGAACCUUACCCGGGCUUGAACUGCACAGGACUGAUACAGAGAUGUUGAUUCCCUUCGGGGCCUGUGCGGAGGUGCUGCAUGGUUGUCGUCAGCUCGUGCCGUGAGGUGUCGGCUUAAGUGCCAUAACGAGCGCAACCCCUUUCGUCAGUUGCCAUCAGGUUCUGCUGGGCACUCUGGCGACACUGCCACCGUAAGGUGCGAGGAAGGUGGGGAUGACGUCAAAUCAGCACGGCCCUUACGUCCGGGGCUACACACGUGUUACAAUGGCAGGUACAGAGGGCCGGCGCCUGGCAACAUGCGUCCAAUCCUUAAAGCCUGCCUCAGUUCGGAUCGGGGUCUGCAACCCGACCCCAUGAAGCUGGAAUGCGUAGUAAUCGCGUGUCACAAUCGCGCGGUGAAUACGUCCCUGCUCCUUGCACACACCGCCC
rnacentral:rRNA from 1 species